CCUACGGGAGGCAGCAGUAGGGAAUCUUCCGCAAUGGACGAAAGUCUGACGGAGCAACGCCGCGUGAACGAAGAAGGUUUUCGGAUCGUAAAGUUCUGUUGUUAGGGAAGAACACGUACCAUUCGAAUAGGAUGGUACCUUGACGGUACCUAACGAGAAAGCCCCGGCUAACUACGUGCCAGCAGCCGCGGUAAU
rnacentral:rRNA from 1 species